AGUCUGAUGGAGCAACGCCGCGUGAGUGAAGAAGGUUUUCGGAUCGUAAAGCUCUGUUGUUGGUGAAGAAGGAUAGAGGUAGUAACUGGCCUUUAUUUGACGGUAAUCAACCAGAAAGUCACGGCUAACUACGUGCCAGCAGCCGCGGUAAUACGUAGGUGGCAAGCGUUGUCCGGAUUUAUUGGGCGUAAAGCGAGCGCAGGCGGAAAAAUAAGUCUAAUGUGAAAGCCCUCGGCUUAACCGAGGAAUUGCAUCGGAAACUGUUUUUCUUGAGUGCAGAAGAGGAGAGUGGAACUCCAUGUGUAGCGGUGGAAUGCGUAGAUAUAUGGAAGAACACCAGUGGCGAAGGCGGCUCUCUGGUCUGCAACUGACGCUGAGGCUCGAAAGCAUGGGUAGCGAACAGGAUUAGAUACCCUGGUAGUCCAUGCCGUAAACGAUGAGUGCUAAGUGUUGGGAGGUUUCCGCCUCUCAGUGCUGCAGCUAACGCAUUAAGCACUCCGCCUGGGGAGUACGACCGCAAGGUUGAAACUCAAAGGAAUUGACGGGGGCCCGCACAAGCGGUGGAGCAUGUGGUUUAAUUCGAAGCAACGCGAAGAACCUUACCAGGUCUUGACAUCUAGCGCCAAUCGUAGAGAUACGAUGUUCCCUUCGGGGACGCUAAGACAGGUGGUGCAUGG
rnacentral:rRNA from 1 species